rnacentral:rRNA from 1 species
GACGAACGCUGGUGGCGUGCCUAAUACAUGCAAGUAGGACGCAGUUGCGCACGGGUGAGUAACGCGUAGGUAACUACCUAUUAGAGGGGGAUAACUAUUGGAAACGAUAGCUAAUACCGCAUACUAGUAGAUGGACCUGCGUUGUAUUAGCUAGUAGGUAGGGUAAUGGCCUACCUAGGCAACGAUACAUAGCCGGCCCGGGGGGGGGGUCCGCCAACACUGGACUGGGAAACGGGCCCGACUCCCAACGGGUGCCGCAGUAGGGAAUUCUCGGCAAUGGGGGGAACCCUGAACGAGCCAAGCCGCGGGAGUGAAGAAGGUUUUCGGGUCGUAAAGCUCUGUUGUUAAGGAAGCGGUACUUAACCAGAAAGGGACGGCUAACUACGUGCCAGCAGCCGCGGUAAUUC